rnacentral:lncRNA from 1 species
GUUUAGUAAAAAAAUGAUGUGUUCAUCAUAAAAUACAUAUUGAUCGAAAUAUUAACAACCAGGUAAAUAACCAUAAGAGAUAAGUCCAAUGCAAUGGACUGUUUCAUUCGGAUUUGUCAUCUGAUUUUGAUAUAUUUUCUUACGACAUUUUAUGUCAACGAUUAAGUUACGAUUUUCUUUUGAGCCAAGUGCUAUUCUUUCGAUUUAUCUGAAGAAAAGCUAUGAUAAAUUUAAUAAUGAUAUAUCGUAUUCUUUCCCUCUGAAUCAGGGAAUUCGUCAAGGCUCACCUUUGAGCGCAUUACAUUUUGUGAUAUAUAUAAAUCCUGUCCUAAUUUGUCCGAAUCUACUGUUCUGGCAUAUGCAGAUUUUCUUAAAAUAAUAAAUUCUAAACAUUCUGCUCUGCAAAAGGAUCUCAAUUAUGUGGUAAAAUGAUUACAUGAUGAUAAAUUAUCUCAUAAUCCGUCUAAGUCGGAAAUUAUUUUUUAUACAAAACGUACUAAUUCUCCUAAACAUGUUGCUAUU